GUGCCAGCAGCCGCGGUAAUACGUAGGUGGCAAGCGUUAUCCGGAAUUAUUGGGCGUAAAGCGCGCGUAGGCGGUUUUCUAAGUCUGAUGUGAAAGCCCACGGCUCAACCGUGGAGGGUCAUUGGAAACUGGAAAACUUGAGUGCAGAAGAGGAAAGUGGAAUUCCAUGUGUAGCGGUGAAAUGCGCAGAGAUAUGGAGGAACACCAGUGGCGAAGGCGACUUUCUGGUCUGUAACUGACGCUGAUGUGCGAAAGCGUGGGGAUCAAACAGGAUUAGAUA
rnacentral:rRNA from 1 species